CGGGUGAGUAAUACAUCGGAACGUGUCUUCUAGUGGGGGAUAACUGCCCGAAAGGGCAGCUAAUACCGCAUGAGACCUGAGGGUGAAAGCGGGGGAUCGCAAGACCUCGCGCUGGAAGAGCGGCCGAUGUCCGAUUAGCUAGUUGGUGAGGUAAAGGCUCACCAAGGCGACGAUCGGUAGCUGGUCUGAGAGGACGACCAGCCUCACUGGGACUGAGACACGGCCCAG
rnacentral:rRNA from 1 species